CCUACGGGAGGCAGCAGUGGGGAAUCUUGCGCAAUGGGGGAAACCCUGACGCAGCAACGCCGCGUGGGUGAUGAAGGCCUUCGGGUCGUAAAGCCCUGUCAGGUGGGAAGAAACAUGUUGAUGCCAAUACCAUCAACACUUGACGGUACCACCGGAGGAAGCACCGGCUAACUCCGUGCCAGCAGCCGCGGUAAUACGGAGGGUGCAAGCGUUGUUCGGAAUUAUUGGGCGUAAAGCGCGUGUAGGCGGUUGUGUAAGUCCGAUGUGAAAUCCCCCGGCUUAACAGAAGAAGGGCAUUUGAAACUGCUCGACUAGAGUACGGGAGAGGAGAGUGGAAUUCCCGGUGUAGAGGUGAAAUUCGUAGAUAUCGGGAGGAACACCAGUGGCGAAGGCGGCUCUCUGGUCCGAUACUGACACUGAGACGCGAAAGCGUGGGGAGCAAACAGGAUUAGAUACCCUGGUAGUCCACGCCGUAAACGAUGGGCACUAGGUGUAGGAGGUAUUGACCCCUUCUGUGCCGAAGCUAACGCAUUAAGUGCCCCGCCUGGGGAGUACGGCCGCAAGGCUAAAACUCAAAGGAAUUGACGG
rnacentral:rRNA from 1 species